rnacentral:rRNA from 1 species
GACGAACCGAGCGAACGUUGUUCGGAAUCACUGGGCUUAAAGGGCGCGUAGGCGGCCUGCCAAGUCAGGAGUGAAAUCUUUCGGCUCAACCGGAAAAGUGCUUUUGAUACUGGCGGGCUAGAGGGAGAUAGGGGCAUGUGGAACUUCCGGUGGAGCGGUGAAAUGCGUUGAUAUCGGAAGGAACGCCGGUGGCGAAAGCGACGUGCUGGACCUCUUCUGACGCUGAGGCGCGAAAGCCAGGGGAGCGAACAGG